AUUGAACGCUGGCGGCAGGCCUAAUACAUGCAAGUCGAACGAGUGGCGGACGGGUGCGUAAUGUCUGGGAAACUGCCUGAUGGAGGGGGAUAACUACUGGAAACGGUAGCUAAUACCGCAUACCAUCAGAUGUGCCCAGAUGGGAUUUGCUAGUAGGUGGGGUAACGGCUAACCUAGGCGACGAUCCCUAGCUGGUCUGAGAGGAUGACCAGCAACACUGAAACUAGAGCACGGUCCAGCCGCCUACGGGAGGUAUCAGUGGGGAAUAGUGCACAAUGGGCGCAAGCCUGAUGCAGCCAUGCCGCGUGUAUGAAGAAGGCCUUCGGGUUAUAAAGUACUUUCAGCGGGGAGGCGUUACCCGCAGAAGAGGCACCGGCUAACUCCGUGCCAGCAGCCGCGGUAAUUC
rnacentral:rRNA from 1 species